GCGGGCGUGGCGGAAUUGGUAGACGCGCUGGAUUUAGGUUCCAGUGCCGCAAGGCGUGGGGGUUCAAAUCCCUCCGCCCGCACCA
rnacentral:tRNA from 1 species